CCUACGGGGUGCAGCAGUGAGGAAUAUUGGUCAAUGGUCGGGAGCCUGAACCAGCCAAGCCGCGUGAGGGAGGAAUGUCCAGUGUAUCGUAAACCUCUUUUGUCAGGGAACAAAAAUUGGUACGCGUACUCAGAUGCGCGUACCUGAUGAAUAAGCAUCGGCUAACUCCGUGCCAGCAGCCGCGGUAAUACGGAGGAUGCGAGCGUUAUCCGGAUUUAUUGGGUUUAAAGGGUGCGUAGGCGGUCUGUUAAGUUAGCGGUAAAAGGUCGGGGCUUAACCUGGAUUGGCCGUUGAAACUGGCAGAUUAGAGUUGAGGCGAGGUAGGCGGAAUGAGCUGAGUAGCGGUGAAAUGCUUAGAUAUCACGUAGAACCCCGAUAGCGAAGGCAGCAUACCAG
rnacentral:rRNA from 1 species